UUAACUUAAAUUUGUGUGGAGUUGGAACGUUUGCCUACGUUUGCCGCCAGGGGCGCUGUUUCAACUUGAAGAAAAAUUUGUUA
rnacentral:pre_miRNA from 1 species